AGGGUGAGGAAAACGGUAGAGGUGAACAUAGGGUGCAUGGAGGUGGUGAACGUAAAAUGCCCUCACAACAAAAUAUUUGGGGUGAUGAAAACAAUGAAGACGAUGAAGAUAUUUGGUUGCAUGACGCAAAUGAAACUGGAAAUGGUGGAUCCUUGGACAAUGCCAAAUGCAAAUUGUUGAAUUGGGAUGGAACAAAGGUGGUGGUUGCGGAAAGCACAAUUGCAUCAACAGAUUCUAAAGCAUUGGUACAUCAUGCGCCUCUUG